rnacentral:rRNA from 1 species
CUACGGGUGGCAGCAGUGAGGAAUUUUGCGCAAUGGGGGCAACCCUGACGCAGCAACGCCGCGUGAGUGAAGAAGGCCUUUGGGUCGUAAAGCUCUGUCAACAGGGAAGAAGUUACUUCAUAUUAAUAGUAUGUAGUAUUGACGGUACCUGUGGAGGAAGCAUCGGCUAACUCCGUGCCAGCAGCCGCGGUAAUACGGGGGAUGCAAGCGUUAUUCGGAAUCAUUGGGCGUAAAGGGCACGCAGGCGGCUCUGUCAGUCAGAUGUGAAAGCCCGGGGCUCAACCCCGGACGUGCAUUUGAAACAGCAGAGCUUGAGUACGGUAGAGGAAAGCGGAAUUCCUGGUGUAGAGGUGAAAUUCGUAGAUAUCAGGAGGAACACCGGUGGCGAAGGCGGCUUUCUGGACCGAAACUGACGCUGAGGUGCGAAGGCGUGGGUAGCGAACAGGAUUAGAUACCCUAGUAGUC